UACGUAGGGGGCAAGCGUUGUCCGGAAUCAUUGGGCGUAAAGAGCGUGUAGGCGGCUUCUUAAGUCGGUGGUGAAAUCCUGGAGCUCAACUCCAGAACUGCCUUCGAUACUGGGAAGCUCGAGUCCGGGAGAGGUGAGUGGAACUGCGAGUGUAGAGGUGAAAUUCGUAGAUAUUCGCAAGAACACCAGUGGCGAAGGCGGCUCACUGGCCCGGUACUGACGCUGAGGUGCGAAAGCGUGGGGAGCAAACAGG
rnacentral:rRNA from 1 species